rnacentral:rRNA from 1 species
ACUGCUCAGUAACACGUGGAUAACUUGCCCUAAGGAAGGGGAUAACCUCGGGAAACUGAGGAUAAUACCCUAUAGGUUACAGACGCUGGAAUGCCCUGUAACCGAAAGUUCCGGCGCCUUAGGAUGGAUCUGCGGCCGAUUAGGUUGUUGUUGGGGUAACGGCCCAACAAGCCGAUAAUCGGUACGGGUUGUGGGAGCAAGAGCCCGGAGUUGGAUUCUGAGACAUGAAUCCAGGCCCUACGGGGCGCAGCAGGCGCGAAAACUUUACAAUGCGGGAAACCGUGAUAAGGGAACCCCGAGUGCCUGUAUAUGCAGGCUGUCCAGGUGUCUAAAAAACACCUGAAGAAAGGGCCGGGCAAGACCGGUGCCAGCCGCCGCGGUAAUACCGGCGGCUCGAGUGGUGGCCACUUUUAUUGGGCUUAAAGCGUUCGUAGCUGGGUUGUUAAGUCUCUUGGGAAAUCUGACGGCUCAACCGUCAGGCGUCCAAGGGAUACUGGCAAUCUUGGAACCGGGAGAGGUGAGGGGUACUUCGGGGGUAGGAGUGAAAUCCUGUAAUCCUCGAGGGACCACCUGUGGCGAAGGCGCCUCACCAGAACGGCUUCGACAGUGAGGGACGAAAGCUGGGGGAGCAAACCGGAUUAGAUACCCGGGUAGUCCCAGCCGUAAACGAUGCGCGUUAGGUGUAUCGGUGACCACGAGUCACCGAGGUGCCGAAGGGAAACCGUGAAACGUGCCGCCUGGGAAGUACGGUCGCAAGGCUGAAACUUAAAGGAAUUGGCGGGGGAGCAC